rnacentral:rRNA from 1 species
UACGUAGGGUGCAAGCGUUGUCCGGAAUUAUUGGGCGUAAAGAGCUCGUAGGCGGUCUGUCGCGUCGGAUGUGAAACCCCGAGGCUUAACCUCGGGCCUGCAUUCGAUACGGGCAGACUAGAGUUCGGUAGGGGAGACUGGAAUUCCUGGUGUAGCGGUGAAAUGCGCAGAUAUCAGGAGGAACACCGGUGGCGAAGGCGGGUCUCUGGGCCGAUACUGACGCUCAUGUGCGAAAGCGUGGGGAGCAAACAGG